UACAGAGGUCUCAAGCGUUUGUUCGGAUUCAUUGGGCGUAAAGGGUGCGUAGGCGGCGCGGUAAGUCGGGUGUGAAAUCUCGGAGCUUAACUCCGAAACUGCAUUCGAUACUGCCGUGCUUGAGGGUGGGAGAGGUGCGUGGAAUUCCCGGUGUAGCGGUGAAAUGCGUAGAUAUCUGGAGGAACACCGGUGGCGAAGGCGGCAUCCUGGACCGGCAUUGACGCUGAGGAGCGAAAGCCAGGGGAGCAAACGGGG
rnacentral:rRNA from 1 species